rnacentral:rRNA from 1 species
AGUAUUAGGCAAAUCCGGUACUCGUUAAGGCUGAGCUGUGAUGGGGAGAAGACAUUGUGUCUUCGAGUCGUUGAUUUCACACUGCCGAGAAAAGCCUCUAGAUAGAAAAUAGGUGCCCGUACCGCAAACCGACACAGGUAGUCAAGAUGAGAAUUCUAAGGUGAGCGAGCGAACUCUCGUUAAGGAACUCGGCAAAAUGACCCCGUAACUUCGGGAGAAGGGGUGCUCUUUAGGGUUAACGCCCAGAAGAGCCGCAGUGAAUAGGCCCAAGCGACUGUUUAUCAAAAACACAGGUCUCUGCUAAACCGUAAGGUGAUGUAUAGGGGCUGACGCCUGCCCGGUGCUGGAAGGUUAAGAGGAGUGGUUAGCUUCUGCGAAGCUACGAAUCGAAGCCCCAGUAAACGGCGGCCGUAACUAUAACGGUCCUAAGGUAGCGAAAUUCCUUGUCGGGUAAGUUCCGACCCGCACGAAAGGCGUAACGAUUUGGGCACUGUCUCAACGAGAGACUCGGUGAAAUCAUAGUACCUGUGAAGAUGCAGGUUACCCGCGACAGGACGGAAAGACCCCGUGGAGCUUUACUGUAGCCUGAUAUUGAAAUUCGGCACAGCUUGUACAGGAUAGGUAGGAGCCUUUGAAACGUGAGCGCUAGCUUACGUGGAGGCGCUGGUGGG